GACGAACGCUGGCGGCGUGCCUAAUACAUGCAAGUUGAGCGAUGAAGCUUGGUGCUUGCACCAAUUUGAAGAGCAGCGAACGGGUGAGUAACGCGUGGGGAAUCUGCCUUUGAGCGGGGGACAACAUUUGGAAACGAAUGCUAAUACCGCAUAACAACUUUAAACAUAAGUUUUAAGUUUGAAAGAUGCAAUUGCAUCACUCAAAGAUGAUCCCGCGUUGUAUUAGCUAGUUGGUGAGGUAAAGGCUCACCAAGGCGAUGAUACAUAGCCGACCUGAGAGGGUGAUCGGCCACAUUGGGACUGAGACACGGCCCAAACUCCUACGGGAGGCAGCAGUAGGGAAUCUUCGGCAAUGGACGAAAGUCUGACCGAGCAACGCCGCGGGAGUGAAGAAGGUUGUCGGAUCGUAAAACUCUGUUGGUAGAGAAGAACGUUGGUGAGAGUGGAAAGCUCAUCAAGUGACGGUAACUACCCAGAAAGGGACGGCUAACUACGUG
rnacentral:rRNA from 1 species